rnacentral:rRNA from 1 species
CACGUAGGGGGCAAGCGUUGUCCGGAUUUAUUGGGCGUAAAGAGCUCGUAGGCGGUUCGGUAAGUCGGGUGUGAAACCUCCAGGCUCAACCUGGAGACGCCACCCGAUACUGCUGUGACUAGAGUCCGGUAGGGGAGCGUGGAAUUCCUAGUGUAGCGGUGAAAUGCGCAGAUAUUAGGAGGAACACCGGUGGCGAAGGCGCCACUCUGGGCCGAAACUGACGCUGAGGAGCGAAAGCGUGGGUAGCAAACAGG